GUACUUGCUCCGGCAGUAUAUAUAAUAAAUGAGAUACGAUACAGAGAAGAUUAACAUGGCCCCUGCGAAAAGAUGACACGCAAAUUGGUGAAGCGUUUCCAUAUUUU